AAAUAAUAAAGUGGGGCGCAUCAGGUCGCAAUGUGACUCAAUGGGUUAACUAGACACAUGAUCAGAUAGGCCAGUUAACCCAUUAAGCGCCAGCGCUCUCCCCUUGACGAGUAAAAUCGUCUGGCGUUAGACAGAAUAAAAUAAUAAAGUGGGGAGCAUCAGGGCGCAUUGCGACUCAAUGGGUUAAAGACGUGCGUAUAAAAUAGUAAUGCAACACGUUUUGUCUUCAGAUGGAUGGAAGUCAUAUGCAGUGCUACACAGAAUUCAAGUCGAACCCGACUGUUUAGUCGUCAAACAAGUGUCUUACCAUAACUGCCGGUGAACUUGAACGAAUAGAAGUAGGUGAAUUUAGCCAAAUCAAUGAAUCGUUUUUAUAUUUAUUCCAUGCUGGACGUAAUAUAAUUUGAUAUAUUUUUACUUUUAACUGGGGAAGCGUCACAUAUCAAUUUUGUGCACGAGAAACGUCAUAUGGACUUUUUCUUGAGACCCCCAAUCUUAGAAACGUCACGCACUGUUUUCGACUCUGCCGAGGCCCCUACGAACUGCAUGCGCUUCAUCAUACGUCUCCAUAUAUAAAUUGUUCUCAAAUUGGUUUCAACAGGAUUCUUUAUCAGGGAACAAUUUGAGAAAGUUUAAAUUUAUUAAAUAAUUUAUUCGUCUUCAAGAUGAAGUUUUCGCCAUGAAUUCUAUUUUAAGCUCUAAUAAUAUGAAGUAUUUGAAAUAUAACGGAGUAGCGAUGGUAACACAGUUUUUUUCGUAUGAUUUUUCAGUAAAGUUGUUAACACAAAAUCGAUAUAUGACGCUUCCCUAAAACUAAUACGAAUAUUCAAAAUGGCGCGAGCACCAUAUUUGAAACUUAUAAUCUUACGAGUACUAGUCGGGUCCCAUAGAGAAUAUAAAAUGGAAAAAAGAGUAAAAAAAUUUGUUGAAACUCCGAAGGAAACCACUUGAAUAAGGGUAGCUUUUAUCGGGAAUUUUAAACUGGACCUUUUUAAUAAACAGCUAACAAUGCUUGCAGUUCUCAAUAUCAUGAACAGAUAUGUAUUCAAAAUACUUGUAUAAAAUAUAUAUUAAUCGCGGUAAUAUAACAAGGUUUUUGACUUGAAUGAACUUUUAAUUAAUAACUUGAAUGAAAUUUUAAUGUUUUUAGUUCGUUUGGAUUUAGAAAUUUAAAUGACCCUACGAAUGAAUUUUGAAAAAUUCAUUUAUAGGUUCAUUAAACGAAACACCUUGUUAUUACUUAAUUACUUUAUUACUUAUUAAACCUUAUUUUUGCAUUAAUUAAUAACAAUAUGCAAAUAUGUAGGAAAUGUUCUUUAAUUUUAUCUUUUCGAAAUUUCUUGUUGAAAUAUACUGUAUAUUUUAGUAAUUGAACAGCAUUAUUUGAUAUUCAAUGAGCAAUUUUGUAGAAGGUAAAAAAAUUAGGUUGGAACCUCGUUCUCAGGAUAUUGGCGAUGCAGGAUUGUUUUGUAACACAAUUUGACACAAACCAACCAAUCAAAGUCAAGAAAACAUUUCCCAUGUACUGCUAUUAUUAUUAUUUAUUAAUAUUAUUAUAUAUAGUAGUAAUAAUAUUUUUCGAGUUUUUUAGGUACGGACACUGUAUAUUAAAGUUUUACUACAUGGUAAAACCUAUGA